GGGGGUAAUUGUCUGUUACUGCUAAUAAUGGUUUGGGGUUUGAAUACCCCUACCCCCU
rnacentral:tRNA from 1 species